AUCUGGCUGACGAGUCCCAAGUAGGAUGAAAUACGCAUCCUAGAU
rnacentral:hammerhead_ribozyme from 1 species